rnacentral:rRNA from 1 species
GACGAACGCUGGCGGCGUGCUUAACACAUGCAAGUCGAGCGGUAAGGCCCUUUCGGGGGUACACGAGCGGCGAGCGGGUGAGUAACACGUGGGUGACCUGCCCUUAGCUCUGGGAUAAGCCUGGGAAACUGGGUCUAAUACCGGAUAUGACUCCAUGACGCAUGUUGUGGGGUGGAAAGCCUUGUGCGGCUAGGGAUGGGCCCGCGGCCUAUCAGCUUGUUGGUGGGGUGANGGCCUACCAAGGCGACGACGGGUAGCCGGCCUGAGAGGGCGACCGGCCACACUGGGACUGAGACACGGCCCAGACUCCUACGGGAGGCAGCAGUGGGGAAUCUUGCGCAAUGGGCGAAAGCCUGACGCAGCGACGCCGCGUGAGGGAUGACGGCCU